rnacentral:rRNA from 1 species
UACAGAGGGUGCGAGCGUUGUCCGGAAUCACUGGGCGUAAAGGGCGCGUAGGUGGCGACCCAAGUCUGUGGUGAAAGCUCGACGCUCAACGUCGAGUCGGCCAUAGAUACUGGGUUGCUUGAGCACUGUAGAGGCAGAUGGAAUUCCGGGUGUAGCGGUGGAAUGCGUAGAGAUCCGGAAGAACACCGGUGGCGAAGGCGGUCUGCUGGGCAGUGCUGGACACUGAGGCGCGACAGCGUGGGGAGCAACAGGG